rnacentral:lncRNA from 1 species
AGCCUUUCGUAUACAUGAAGGCCAUAGUCUAUGGGGUGGGUCCUCUAAUGGGGCCUGUGAAGCUUCUUAAGGGUGGAGCUUACCUCUUUGAGCCUCGAGUGAUGGUUAUUUCUCUUUGAACAUUCAGUAGAUACUAUUUUGUUCUCUACGGACACGGGGAGGCCUCCUCUGACCUAGGAGAGCUUCAGAGUCUAGGGAGGAUUGACGAAUUGAGUUGAAAGGUUUCUGGUCUUUGUAUUAAGUCACUUUUAGAUGUAGCUUUGUGGCAAGGUGUUUGGGAGAAGGAUUCGGGCCUCUGGGGACAGAGUAGCUCAAAGUAGCGUAAUGUGAGUGGGUGAUGGAGGCUGAAGCAGUCCAUCGUGAGUGAGUGAUGCGAUAGAGGCGGAAGCAAUCCUUUUGAUGGAGUAAACCGUGAUUUGAGCUGCAGAGAUCAAGAGACAAGUCUAUUUAUUCUGUGCUUUUGAAACCUUAGGACUUGGAGCUCUGACAUUUUGCACUCUGUAACGGAGCUUCAUGAUGGGAAGGAAUGGCCUCUUGUUCACACUUGCUCGCCGCUUCAUUCCUCGUUCUCUUGCCUCUAAGAUGAUGCUCUGCUCUGCUAAAAGGAAUGGGAGAGUAGGGCUUGAAGCUUGCUUUGCUUCUGAGUUAAGAUGUAGCAGCAACUAUGCAUUGUUCCCUAGGUGACUGAGAAAGACAACGAAUGGCCAUUGGGCUUAAUGGAGGCUCGGAGGAGUCGAGUACAAGUAAUAAUUUUCUAAAGAGUGUAGCAGUUUAGGUCCCCAUAAUCAUCAAGAAUAGUUAAAAAACAUCACAGCCCCAAAGGCUCGGGAUUUCAGAAGUGUAUGGUACCCGGGGGUACUUACCCUUCCAGGCUGUUUUCUAUAGGGAGUGAUGCUAAUGUGUUACAUGGGAAAUACCUAAUGCACUGUUACCACCUACAUAGUGAGUAAAUUAAUACUAUUUAAUUUUUUUUAAAAGCUUUGUCUGGGUAGACACUAAAAGCAUUAUAUACAAAGCCAGGACUGAGAUGUCCUUUUUAAUAACAACUGAAAGUACUUUUUAUAUAUGUUAUACAGUAUGUCCUUUCUAAACUAGUUUGUAUUCCUGAUAAUUCCUAUUUGUGAAGUGUACCUGUCUAUCUUUUUGGUCAUUUUCUGCACGCACCCCCUCUGUAUGAUUAGAUAUUGCCAUGGCUCUCCUUGCUCUGCUGUGAUGUGUGUAUGCCAAGCCUGCUACCCUCAGCCCACUCUGGGGAUGCAGGGCGCGUGGUCUCUUCAGAACUGGGUGCUUUUGCUCUGGAUUUAUCCAGCCACCCUUCUCAAAGUGACUCUUCCAGCUGCGAUAAGUUACAUCACAUUUAUUUUAUAUUCUUGGUUGAAAUAAAAAUUAAUUGACUUGGU